GACGAGGGAUCCUAGCGUUGUUCGGAAUUAUUGGGCGUAAAGCGGGUGUAGGCGGAUCUAUAAGUCAGGUGUGAAAUCCCAGGGCUCAACCCUGGAAGUGCACUUGAUACUGUAGAUCUUGAGUGUGGUAGAGGUUACUGGAAUUCCUGGUGUAGUGGUAAAAUACGUAGAUAUCAGGAGGAAUACCGGAGGCGAAGGCGAGUAACUGGGCCAACACUGACGCUGAGACCCGAAAGCGUGGGGAUCAAACAGG
rnacentral:rRNA from 1 species